rnacentral:lncRNA from 1 species
ACAGUGACCGCCACCGUUGCCAAGGGAUGGGUCCCUGAGACUUGGCGAAGUGGGAGCCCUGUGUGAUCGUGCGUCAGAGUCGGGGCUGAGACCAGCCCCGGCCAGGGUAGUUACCGGGACGGUCUCCGGAGGCCGGGAUUCGCGGAGGGUCCACCAGCAGGAAGAAACCCCAGGAGGAAGAAACCUCAGACAGAUCGCCGGGGAGGCAGCGCGGGAUCCCAGCCUCAGGCGUGCGCGGACGGUGUGCGGAGUCUAGCUUUGUACCAGGCUGCAGUGCAGUAGUGCCAUCUCAGCUCACUGCAACCUCUGCCUCCCGGGUUCAAGAGAUUGUCCUGCCUCAGCCUCCCGAGUAGCUGGGAUUACAGGCACAUGCCACCACACCCAGCUAAUGUCCAGCUAUGCAUCACCCCUUCGCUGAUGAGCCUUAAGAAAAUCCAAAUUUAUAAAUUGCUGGGUCCAUCUCUCUUUCCAUCCAGAAAAGUCAGAGCAACUGGUCUUGCUGGUUUUAAGUGUUGCCUGUGUUUCUGGCAUUGGUAAUUUUCUUUGUUUUCCUGUAGUUUUAGGUAUACAUAUAUAAUGACAUCUCCAAAAUUCAUCAAUAUUAGCAUUUGUUAUGAAGAUUUUUCAGGCAGCUGGCUUACCAUAUGGCCUAAAUCUGAUUCUAAAGUCCAUGUUUCACUUUCUCAAAUAUAAAAACUGCUUGCUAAUAAGCAUUAGAAAAAUAUUUUGAAGAAGAACAUUUUGAUAAAUAUGAUUGUACAAUAUUCACUGCAGUAAAUAACCAUUGCAUACUCAAAGGAGUUUCAUUUGCAUAUAUAACAUGAGAUGAAAACCAAUAAUAAAUGGUGACUUUUAAUAAAAUAGAUCAGAAAUAGUAUCUUGUGCAAAUAAUCUGAUGCCAGAAUAAUUACCCCUCUAAUUAGUAAAAUUCAAUAAGAAGGUAGAAUUUUCAUUUACAUGUGAUCAAAUAACUUUUUUUACAAUACCUUUGCCUUUUGAGUUCUUUAAUAAAAUACAUCAGAAAUAGUAUCUUGUGCAAAUAAUCUGAUGUGAGAAUAAUUACCCCUCUAAUUAGUAAAAUUCAAUAAGAAGGUAGAAUUUUCAUUUACAUGUGAUCAAAUAACUUUUUUUACAGUACCUUUUGCCUUUUGAAUUCUUUAUUGUUUUCAUUUAAGAAAUGUGGAAAUCUGAAACAAACUAUAUUCUCAAUCAUGUUAGAAAAAGUAUAUGUAAUAUGUAUUUUUUAAAUGUCCAGUGGCUAAGAACUUAGACUGGGUUUUGAAAUAAUAAUUUCCUAACACAGUUUCUCAGUAUGUUUCCUCUAGGCAAGAGAAAACUCUGUAAUUAUAAGAUUCUUAAUUUACCCUGGUAAUUUCAUAAGAAAAAUGAUUAAUUACUUUGAGCAAUCAGUUAUACAAAUAAUCAUGGUUCUUUAUUUAAACCACAAAAAAUAGAAAGAAAGCAGAGAAGCUUAAGCAUAAAACAUAAAGAAAAAUUCAGUCAUUUAGUAAAAAUGAAAUCAGUGUUAAAAUAUUUCUUUUGACACAGUCAGCUAACAUCUUUCUAUUUUUGCUGAGUAACUAUUAAUUAUAUUUUAAGUUCAACUAACUCUUGACACAGCAAUGGAAUUUGAAGUGAAUAUACUACUUUAAAAAAUAAAUGGUGUAUUUAGAGUGUUGACAUUUAGAAAAUGAUAGUUUUGUGAAAUUUGCAAUGUGUUUUAGAAUUACAAAUGCUAAAGUAAAUGAAUGCAUGAUUAUAUUUAAUAGAAUAAAAACAGAAGAAUUUUUUAAGUCUUGACGACCCAAGGCAGGGUUCUGUUUUAAGUAUUCCCCUUUCAAUCAACGUUACAGCUAUCCUAACUUAAAACUGCUUCAACUAAUAAUGUGUAUUUAUAUUAAAAAUGUAAUCCAUGGCUCUGAACUCUGGCUUCCUAGUAGAAUCACAUGGCAAGAUUUUAAGUAAUACUCAUUUCUUGGCUCUACUAAAGUCCAAUUAAAACAGAACUUCAGUUUUUAGAAACAGGUGUGGGUAGUUUGAAUGUUCCACAUUAUUCUAAGAUGUGGGUGAGAUUAAGAACCAGUAAGCACACCAGUCAGAAUGGCUAUUAUUAAAAAGUCAAAAAAUAGCAGGUGCUGGUAAGGUUGCAGAGAAAAAGGAACACUAUACACUGUUAAAGAGAAUGUAAAUUAAUUCAGCCAUUGUGGAAAACAGUGUGGUGAUUCUUCAAAGACCUAAAAACAGAACUACCAUUAGACCCAGCAAUCCCAUUACUGGGUAUAUAUCCAAAGGAAUAUAAAUUGUUCUAUUAUAAAGACACACGCACACAUAUGUUCACUGCAGCACUAUUCACAUUAACAAAGACAUGGAAUAGACCUAAAUGGCCAUCAAUAGUAAAGACUGGAUAAAUAAAAUGUUGAACAUAUACACCAGGGAAUAAGAUGUAGCCAUAAAAAGGAACGAGAUCAUGUGUUUUGAAGGAAUAUGGAUGGAAUUGAAGGCCAUUAUCCUUAGCAAAUCAAUGUAGGAACGAAAAAACAAAUGCCACAUUCUCUCACUUGUAAGUGCAAGCUAAAUGAUGAGAACACAUGCACACAAAGAAGGGAACAACAGACACUGGGCCCUACAAGAGGGCAGAAGGUCGGGGGAGGGAGACGAUCUGGAAAAAUAACUAAUGAGUCAUAGGCUUAAUGCCUGGGUAAUGAAUUAAUCUGUAAAACAAACCCCCAUGAUGCAAAUGUAUUUAUAUAACAAACCUGCACAUGUACCCCUGAAAUUAAAGGUUAAAAAAAAGAAACAGGGAGCAUUGCUAGGCUAUAUUGAGUAAGCACCAACUGCGCAUACUUAGCCUAUAAAAUGCCUAAAAUAUAGAUAGUAAAAAUGCCUAAAAUAUAGAUAGUAAAAAAAUAUAGAUAGUAAAAAAAAUAUAGAUAGUAAAAAAAUAUAGAUAGAUAGAGUGACAUAAAACAAGAAUUCAGAUAUAGCAGUUGUUUUUAUUUGUUUAAGAAUAAAUUCAAAAUUCAGAAUUAUAAUUGUAUACUCUUAUAAGAGAAAACAGAUUCAUUUUAUAUAAAAUAUAUUGUGCUAAUUUACACACUUUUUGAUCCCUAAUAAUAAAUACAACUCUGUUAGAUGGCUUAAAAGCAAUCUUUACAUUGCUUAGAGAACGUUAAAUAUCAAUUGUGUAUUUAAAUUUUCUACUUAUAUGAAAGCAUGCUAUUUUUCCUUAACUUUGGGUAAAUAAUUUUAUGGUGUGAUUAAACCGAUCUGACUUUUUGAAAAAGGGCAUGUUUUUUAAUGAAAUAUAAAAGAGUUGUAAUUUUAGUUAUUCAGUGUUGCGCAAACCUACUUUUUUGGCUUCAUUUGCAAAAGGUUGUUGGAUAACCUUUAUCUUUUACCACUAACUUCUUACUCUGAUCCAAAAUAUUUGGCUUUUAAAAUUCUCCUUAUUUCAUUAUUUGUCUUCAUAUUUAAAAUAUCUUCUGUGAUAUUUCACUUCUAAUUUUUUAAUAUUUUUACAUGAAAAGAGAUGAAUACUGAUAUCCCUGAUUUUUAAGAGAGGAUUUUUAUUGCCCUGUUAAUUUGGAAAUAAACAUGCGAUAAUAUGAUUUUAAAAUGCUAAAGUGGAGCUCUAGUAAUUCAACUGAAAAUAGCAUUAUGAAUAAACUAUACUGUGGCAAUUCUUUAACAUAAUAAAGGAGGACAUCAACAGAGCAGAAAAUUGAUGAAUUUUGGAAUAUAUGAAGCAUGUUGUAUCAAAUUGCCAGAGAAAGUAAUGAUUUUCUGUUACUGAACUUAGGUCACAAAGCCUACUGCCUGCUAAUCGGCAAGUGGACCUGUUUCUCUAACAAUGGCCCGAAACUUCACAACAUCAAAGGAGAAAUCAUUGCCAGCAAAAGCAUUUCCGGGUAGUAGGAAAGAAUACAAGUGAAUAACAUUAGUCCAGAAGUUUUAAUAAUAUUCUUUGCUGGUUGAAAUUCAUGUUUAAUAUGAUGUAAAUUACUUGAUAAGCAAAUUAAGAACUAUGCUACUACAGACUCCAAAUAAGACGCAAGAAAAAUGAGGGGAAAUACAUUAAAGGAAGAUCUUAAAAAACAGCUGCACAGAAGAUAAAUUAUUUUUCCAGGAGUUUUAAACAUAGUUGCUUUUGUUUGUUUGCUUUGCUGUUUUUUCUUAAUAAUUGUUUUAGUAAGCUCAGGCUGCUAUAUAAAAAUAAGAUAGGCGCUGGUCUGAACAAUAGACAUUUAUUUCUUAUAGUUCUUGAACCUGGCAAGUCUGAGGAGGGUCAUCUUCUGGGCUUUCAAAGGGCUGCCUUUUUCCUAUGUACGUACAUAGCGAAUAGAAAGUGUUAGCUCUCUGGUCUCUUCCUGUAAGAGCACUAAUCCCAUCAUGAAGACCCCAUCCUUAUGGGCUCAUCUAAACCUAAUUACUUCCAAAGGUCCCACCUCCAAAUGCUAACACAUUGAGAGUUAAGGCUUCAAUAUAUUAAUUUUGGGGAAACAAGACACAGUCCAUAUCAAAUAUAUAUAUAUAUGUAAUAUAUAUGUAUAAUAUAUAUGCAUACUAUAUAUGUAUAUAAUAUGUAUGUAUAAUAUAUAUACAAAUAUAUAUAAUAUAUAUUACAUAUACCCAAAUAUAUAUAUUAUAUAUAUUAUAUAUGUUAUGUAAUACAACUAUAUACACUCUACAAAGGCAGUGGAAUAUAGACAUACUUCAAUUGAUUGUGCUUUGCUUCACUUGGCUUCACAGAUAAUGUGUUUUUCACAAAUUGAAGGUUUAUGACCACCCUGCAUCAAGCAACUUUAUUGGCACCACUUUUUAAUAGCAUGUGUUCAUUUGUAUCUCUGUGCCAUAUCUAGGUAAAUCUCACAAUAUUUCAAACUUUUUAAUUAUAAUUAUAUUUGAUAUGGUAAUCUGUAACCAGUGACCUUUGAUGUUACUAUUGUAAUUGUUUUGGGCACCAUGAACCACAUCCAUAUAAGACAAUGAAUUUAAUCAAUAAAUGUGUGUGUUCUGACUGCUCCGCCAACUUAGACAAUUAGUUUUAGAUCUUUUAUUUAGACGAUGAGAAAAUUUAAACUAUAAAUAGGCCAGGUCUCGUGGCUUAUGCCUGGAAUCCCAGCAUUUUGGGAGGCUGAGGUGGGAGGCUCACUGGAGGCCAGGAGUUCAAAACCAGCCUGGGCAACAUAGGGAGACCUUAGCUCUACAAUUGAAAAAAAAAUAGCCAGGUGUGGUCAUGGUGGCACCUGUCUGUAUUCCAGCCACUUGGGAGGCUGAGGCAGGAGGUUUGCUUGAGUCCAGGAGUUUGAGGUUGCGGUGAGCUACACAAUGAGCUAUGGUGGCACUACUACACUCCAGCCUGGGCCAUAGAGUAAGGCCCUGUCUCUAACUGGAAGUCCAAAGAGGGAUCUACUUCCAAGACUAUUAAUUUAAUAGAUCAAUAAAUUAAUCAAGAAUAUGAUUUUUUUCUCAUCUUUAUUUGUAGUCAUAUUUUAUACAGACUUUUUGUUUAAGUAAUCUCUCUUUAUGGGCAGACAAUGAUUUCAGAAACACCACAAAUUAUUCUCAAAAAGAAAAGACGAGGAUUUUUUUUUUUUUAGAAAAUGUAACUCUUUUCAGUAGCUCUUGGCAGACCUACCCUCACAUUUUCUUGACUAAAAACAGUCAUUAAAAAAAGUCAGUCACAAACAGGUGAAUUUAAAUUAUCAUGGUUUACCUAUACUUAACAAGCUUUAUCCUCAGAGGUAAGGAUAGGGUUACUUUCCUGAAUUUUAGAUAUGUGGAAAUAUUUGGAGUUAUGUCAAUAAAUGAAAAAGUAUGAUGGAUAUAGUGCUUGCCAUGGAAUAUAUCAAAUACAGAUAUUCUGAAAACUUUAAGUUCAGUAAUAUGCCAGGGGUUCCCAAGACCACUUGAGACCUGGUAAUUUACUGGAAAUCUCUAAGGGAAUCAGAAGCUGUAGUACUCAUUGUUACAGUAUAUUACAGUAAAAACAGUACAGAUAGAAGUCAGCUAAGAGAAAAGACAAAUGAAGUGAACUCCAGGAGAAACCAAGUCCAAGCUCUCAGGUGUCCCCUCCCAGAGCAGUUGCAUGGGGACAUGUUUAAUUAUCCCAGCAACAAUAUGUAAAGUGCAAAGCAUUGCCAACCAGGAACACUCGCUGGAGCCUAGUUGUCGAAGGUGUUUACUGGGAUCAGUCACAUAGUCAUGUAAUGCCCAUAUGAUUGACCUCAGCUCCAUGACAUUUAAGCACAACUUUCUUCCUACACCCAGAGUAAAAACAGAUGUUCACAUAAGUCACGUUGAUAACAUAACCUUUUCUGGUCGAACUGGGAGAGUAUGGCCCAAGACUUCAGGAAAACAAGAACACUUUUAUCAAGCAAAAUACUCCAAGGGCUCAGAGAUGAACUCCUAGACUAAGGUCUAGUCCUGCAGAGGGACCCCUCUUUGGAAUGUACAGUAUUUGAGCAAUUCAUGCCAGUCAAGUUAAACCUUUUCACCCAUGCCUAAAUGCUAUUUAAGAAAUGUAAAUAACAACAAUGAGAUAGUUUAUUAAACAUUUUUAUUGUAAUACACAAAUAGUAUAUAGUUAAUUAAUUUUAACAAAGUGAUUGUACAUAUUUCACAAUAAAAUUCCCUUAAAUUACCAUCUGCUCCAUCUGCAAGUAAUUAUUAUUCUGAUUGCUAAUAACAUAGACUUUUUUAACCUAUUUUUGAACUUUUAUAAUAGAAUUAAACAAUAUAUAUUCUUUUCUGGAUGGCUUCUCUUACUCAGAAAUGUAUUUGGGAGAGUCAUCAAAGCUCUCUUGGGUAUACCAUUUAUCCUUCUUGCUUGAUAAUACUCCAUGUAUUUAUAUAUAUGCUAUGAUGUGUUUAUUUCACUCUUGAUGGAUAACUGCAAAACUUCCAAUUUAAGCUGUUGUGAAUAAUUCUUUAAUAAACAAUUUUGUACAUUUCCUGAAUAUGUUUAUGUGUUCCUGUUGGAUGAUAGUAGCAGAAUUAUUGGUCACAGGGUAUGCAUAUACUUAAUUUUAACAGAUAAGGUCAAAUACUUUCCAAAUUCAUUUUAACAAUUACAGUCAACCUGCAUUGUUUUAGAGCCCCGAUUGCAGGGUCAUUUUGGAUUAGUUUGUCUUUCUCUUGUUGAUUUUAAUGGAUAGUGUUAGGCUGUAAAUAAAGUUAUUUAUGCAUAGUAAGAACUUUCUCAACAAAUUUUACUCAGACUUCUGCUCUACGCUAAGAACUAGCUCUGGAAAUUAAUUCACAGAAAGAACAUGGUUAGGGGCCAUCCUGAGGGAUUUACCUCACUAGGGAUAUAUAUUUACAUUUCAAGAGAAGAUGAGACCCAGUAGAUGCAUCCCAGAAGUUACAAAGCUGGAGACUCUAGUGUUAUCUUUCCCCUAGAGAGAUUUAUUUUUAUCCAAAUGGUUAAAGUAAGAACUCAGUUUUUUUUCCGUUUUGUGACUAUGGAGACACACUCAGAAGGGGGUCAAGAGCAACUGGGUCACUCUUCCACAAAAACGCUCAGGUUCUUUUUUCCAGAGUUCUUUGCCUACAGCAGAUCCCCUUACAUGUAGGACAUCUGGUUCUCACCACAUCACCACCACGGUAAGAAUUAGUGGAAAGGAGAGCUAGGUUAAGGGCAGCUGUUUCUUUCCUUCUCUGCAGCCUCUGGUACCAAGUACUGCAUGACAUGUGUCUCACAACAUUCUCUGCCUCUGCACCUCUGUGCUACGACACUGGAUGAAUCUAUGGAGUGAGCAAUAGAAAGUCUCUGAACUGCCAGAAACAACUUCAUUUUACAUGGAAGUGGCUUUAAAUCAAACACAUUAACCUCAAUGAACUGAAAUUAAAUAUGUCUCUAUUCAACUUCCCCUUAGCUGAAUACUAAAAGUGUUGUAGGCUGGACCCGCACUACCUGACAGGGAGAUAAAUGACUAAAGGCAAAUGGGAGUCAAAACAGGUGUGGCUUUUCUUAUUUUUAAUUAAGCAUCUUACACAGCAAAUUUUGCAAAACUCAUAUGACCCCGAGAAAGACCCAUACAUAUGAAAGGUCUUAAAGAUUUAACUUUCUUAGCUUUAACGUAAGCUUUCCACUGGAUUUUCCCAUUACACUCAUUCCAUAAAGAAAUGAAAUAAUCAUAUAUCUCAUUAUAUAAUUAUACUAAAUUGAUCUCAACACAUUUUCUUAGCAAUAUAUACCAACAUUGUUUCCAAUAUUGUUUAUUACAAAUGAUGCUACAGUUGAAAUCUUUAUAUCUGAACGCUUGUGUGUGUGUGUGUGUGUGUGUGUGUGUGUGUGUGUACCUAUUCUGUGUAUAAUACUGAUUUUAUUUAUUUGUAUAGGCCUGGAAGUGGAAAUACUGUGACAUAAAAUAGAGGCACAGCAAAUUAUUCAAGAUGUCGACAAACAGCAUUGUUUCCAAGUUUUUGUUCCCUUACAAUCCUUGCCAUUGGCCAAUUUCUCAAAAUCCCGUGUUGCUUAACAUUUAGUAGCUUAGUAAAUAUUUUAAAUCUCAGAGAUUUUACCCAACUGAUACCAGGGUUUUUAAAAUUUGUUUAUAUAGAUUAAGCGUCUUUGAAGAAAUAACAGUAUGCAAAAAAUAUGGUCGCUAUUCUUCAUGUUAAAACUAUCUUAAACACUUUUCCAGAGGAAAAAAUAACAAAAUAGAAACCAAUGAAGGUCUUUUGCUUGGUGAUUACAUAUAUUGAUUACCUGUGUAAGUUAAACAGAUUGGGAAAAGGAAAUAUCCAAAAUUGUGCCUAGAUUAUAUCAUGACAUCAUGUAUAUAUGUAAAUAAGUUAAUUUUUGCAAUCGCAACAUAGAGAAAAAUGUUAUUUUAAAUGAAAAAAAUAAAUAGAACAUAAAGUAAUAUUUCAGCAUAUUAAAUUUAGGAGUAAAAACCUUUGACAUCCCUGAAAAUCUUUGGUAAAAAGUCCAGAUUAUGAUAACUUGGCUUUAAUGAACUAGGAAAUAGAUGGAUAAUAGCACACACAUUUUUAGCAUUGUAGGGAUUAUUUUCACUGGUUGUAGGAUCAACAAACUUGGUUUAAAUAAUGGUUCUGAGAAUUUAAUUAAUUAAUUUAAUACACUUUUGUUAGGAAAAUAAAUUCAUUUCUAGACACAGGAUAUUUUACAAUUGGAUCGUAUUUCAAAAAAAGAAUCACUGUGUUUUUAAUGAACAAAUGUCACAUAAAGAAGUCUUUUCAAAAAGUGCUUCAAAAACUUAAAUUUGAAAUAUAUGCAACGGAUCCACAAGGUAUCUAAUAAUUUUUAUUUUUACCAAGCUCAUGAGUAAGUUACUUAGCCCUGAAACAGUUUCGGAGAAAAAAAAAGUGUUUUAGUUUCUUUAUCUGUAAAAUAUUUAUGUGGCAAAUGAUUGAGCAAAUAUAUAAAUUUAAGCAGAUUGAUCCUAGAACUUGUUGUGUUUAAGAAUAUGGAUUAUUGAGAAGUACUUCACCAUAGUAUUUAUCACAUAGUAUGUCCUAAUUUAAGAUUAAGUAUGGUUGUAAUCAUA